rnacentral:ncRNA from 2 species
AGAGGGAACCCGGUGGGAAUCCGGGACUGUCCCGCAGCGGUGUACGGGAACGACAGCCGUCACGAAGCACUGGGGUACGCCCCGGGAAGCGACGGCCAGUAGGUGCGGACGACCCGCCUGCCCGUGAGUCCGAAGACCU